GAUGAACGCUGGCGGCGUGCCUAAUACAUGCAAGUCGAGCGAACAGACGAGGAGCUUGCUCCUCUGACGUUAGCGGCGGACGGGUGAGUAACACGUGGAUAACCUACCUAUAAGACUGGGAUAACUUCGGGAAACCGGAGCUAAUACCGGAUAACAUGUUGAACCGCAUGGUUCAACAGUGAAAGACGGUUUUGCUGUCACUUAUAGAUGGAUCCGCGUCGCAUUAGCUAGUUGGUAAGGUAACGGCUUACCAAGGCAACGAUGCGUAGCCGACCUGAGAGGGUGAUCGGCCACACUGGAACUGAGACACGGUCCAGACUCCUACGGGAGGCAGCAGUAGGGAAUCUUCCGCAAUGGGCGAAAUCCUGACGGAGCAACGCCGCGUGAGUGAAGAAGGUCUUCGGAUCGUAAAACUCUGUUAUUAGGGAAGAACAAAUGUGUAAGUAACUAUGCACGUCUUGACGGUACCUACUCAGAAAGCCACGGCUAACUACGUG
rnacentral:rRNA from 1 species